CAAUUGUUUACAAGGGGAUUAGGACACAGGAAGAUGGAUGUUUUUACAAAGGAAUUUAUGAACAAAGAGUAAAUGGGGAAGAAUGAGUUUAUUACUCAUGGAAGAUGAAAAGUUGGAUUGAAAUUAAAAGUAGGAACUAUAACUCAGAGAUUUUCAUAGAGUUGAAGCUGGGGCAUGAGAAGGGUUCUAAGGAAGAGUGCUAGGAUUGAGCUAAUUUGAGAUUUUAUCGAAGGGCGAAGCAAGUGAGGAGUCCUUAGUUUAAGCGUGUAUUGCUUCUUGUUUCAUUUCCAUGUAUUUUGAUGUUUUUCUUUGAGAGAAUAAAUAUGGGAGACAUAGACACAUGAAAUACUAUACUUGAAGUUUCUGUUAUACAUUUGAAAGGAUUUUAUGUUGAAUUAUGGUUGUCUUUGAAAGCCAUAUUUAAACUGCAAGUUGAAAAUCAUGUUUUCUGACA